UAAUAUGGUCAAGUAAUUAAGGGCGUACGGUGGAUGCCAAGGCACUAGAAGGCGAUGAAGGACGUGGUUUGCUGCGAUAAGCUACGGGGAGCUGUAAGCAAGCUUUGAUCCGUAGAUUUCCGAAUGGGGGAACCCUACUAGGUAAAACCUAGUAACACAGCAAUGUGGGCAAGACCCAGGGAAUUGAAACAUCUUAGUACCUGGAGGAAGAGAAAGAAACCUCGAUUCCGUCAGUAGCGGUGAGCGAAAGCGGACCAGCCUAAACCUCUGUCUACGUUACAGAUCUGGAUCGCUGUAGCAGAGGGGUUGUAGGACUUACGGGUGCAGUUCAGAAUGCACCGAGGAGUUACAAAGUUUAGUGGUAGUGGAAUGGUUUUGGAACAGCCAACCAAAGAGGGUGAUAGUCCCGUAGACGAAACUGCUAAGCCUCCUGUUAAGUAUCCUGAGUACCACGGAACACGUGUAAUUUUGUGGGAAACCGCGGGGACCACCCCGCAAGGCUAAAUACUUCCUAGUGACCGAUAGUGGACAAGUACCGCGAGGGAAAGGUGAAAAGUACCGGGAGACCGGAGUGAAAUAGUACCUGAAAC
rnacentral:rRNA from 1 species